AAUAAUUUAAGCAUGCAUUACCUCUGUCCACACUAUGCGUUUUCGUCUUCCAUUUUCGUCAUCUACUUUCAUUCAACUUUCGUUUUUUCAAUUAUUGAAUGCGUCAACGAACGCAACGCCAACAUUGUCAUUUUUGUUUUUGGAUACGGUCAGAGGGCAUGCGUCGCGGGCAUGCCUCACG